GACGAACGCUGGCGGCGUGCCUUACACAUGCAAGUCGAACGAGCGGCGGACGGGUGAGUAAUGUCUGGGAAACUGCCUGAUGGAGGGGGAUAACUACUGGAAACGGUAGCUAAUACCGCAUACCAUCAGAUGUGCCCAGGUGGGAUUAGCUAGUGGGUGGGGUAAUGGCUCACCUAGGCGACGAUCCCUAGCGGGUCUGAGAGGAUGACCAGCCACACUGGAACUGAGACACGGUCCAGACUCCUACGGGAGGCAGCAGUGGGGAAUAUUGCACAAUGGGCGCAAGCCUGAUGCAGCCAUGCCGCGUGUGUGAAGAAGGCCUUCGGGUUGUAAAGCACUUUCAGCGAGGAGGCGUUACUCGCAGAAGAAGCACCGGCUAACUCCGUGCCAGCAGCCGCGGUAAUAC
rnacentral:rRNA from 1 species